rnacentral:rRNA from 1 species
CAAUAGCGUAUAUUAAAGUUGUUGCGGUUAAAAAGCUCGUAGUUGGAGUUCUGCCAGGUGACGCUCGUCCGCCCAAGUGGUGUGUACAGGGCGUGCAUCUGGCCCUUUCAAGGGGAACGUGUCUGCACUUUACUGUGUGGUGCGAGAUCCUUGACUUUUACUUUGAGGAAAUCAGAGUGUUCCAAGCAGGCUCUCGUCGUGUAUAGCUCAGCAUGGAAUAAUAGCAUUGGACUUCGUUUCUAAGCUGUUGGUUGCAAGAAGCGAGGUAAUGAUGAAGAGGGAUAGUUGGGGGCAUUCGUAUUUAACUGUCAGAGGUGAAAUUCUUGGAUUUGUUAAAGACGGACUGCUGCGAAAGCAUCUGCCAUGGAUGUUUUCAUUGA